UACGAAGGGGGCUAGCGUUGCUCGGAAUGACUGGGCGUAAAGCGCGUGUAGGCGGCUAAGUAAGUCGGGCGUGAAAUCCCACGGCUCAACCGUGGAAGUGCACUCGAAACUGCAUAGCUAGAGUCCUGGAGAGGAAGGUGGAAUGCUUGGUGUAGAGGUGAAAUUCGUAGAUAUCAAGCGGAACACCGGUGGCGAAGGCGGCCUUCUGGACAGUGACGUGACGCUGAGACGGCGAAAGCGUGGGGAGCAAACAGG
rnacentral:rRNA from 1 species